rnacentral:rRNA from 1 species
GACAGAGGUGCCGAGCGUUAGGCGGAAUCACUGGGCUUAAAGCGUGUGUAGGCGGACUUCUAAGUACCUUGUGAAAUCCCACAGCUCAACUGUGGAACUGCUUGGUAUACUGGUUGUCUUGGGUCAUCUAGGGGCGAGCGGAACAAACGGUGGAGCGGUGAAAUGCGUAGAUAUCGUUUGGAACGCCAAUGGUGAAAACAGCUCGCUGGGGAUGUACCGACGCUGAGACACGAAAGCCAGGGGAGCAAACGGG